rnacentral:rRNA from 2 species
AGUACGUGAAACUGCUUAGAGGUUAAGCCCGAUGAACCUGAAUAUCCAUUAUGGAAAAUUCAAUAUUAAAAAUAUAAUAUAAAUCAUAUUAUAAAAAUAGUAUGCAAUUUUUCCAUAUAAGGACAUUGUAAUCUGUUAAUGUUAUAAAUAUUUAUCAAAAGAUCUUUUACUUAAGUUUAUUUAAAUUGUUUAUUUUCGGAUAUUCAACAUAAAAUAAAUGUAUUAGAUUAGAUAAAUCAUUGACAGAUAUAAUUAUAUAUUGUGCUCAAAUUUUUCGGAAUUUUACAAUAAUAAGUGGAUCUAUUGAUUUAUUUAUUUAUUGCAUGCACUUUUAUGAUUAACAAUGCGAUAGAUUCAGGAUACCUUCGGGACCCGUCUUGAAACACGGACCAAGGAGUCUAACAUAUGUGCAAGUCAUUGGGUAUUUUUAAUAAAACCCAAUGGCAUAAUUAACUUAACUGUUAAUUAUAAUGGGAUUAAUUUAUAUUUUGUUAUGAUUUAUUUAUUCAAUCCCGGGGCGUUCUAUACAGUUAUGCAUAAUAAUAUUUAUAUUAUUUAUGCCUCUAACUAGAGCGUACCUUGAGC